rnacentral:rRNA from 1 species
AUACGGAGGGUGCGAGCGUUAAUCGGAAUUACUGGGCGUAAAGGGUGCGUAGGCGGCUUGAUAAGUCGGAUGUGAAAGCCCCGGGCUUAACCUGGGAAUUGCAUUCGAUACUGUCAGGCUAGAGUAUGUCAGAGGUUGGCGGAAUUCCUAGUGUAGCGGUGAAAUGCGUAGAUAUCAGGAGGAACACCAGUGGCGAAGGCGGCUAACUGGGGCAAUACUGACGCUGAGGCACGAAAGCGUGGGGAGCAAACAGGAUGAGAAACCCUAGUAGUCC